rnacentral:rRNA from 1 species
CAGCAGCCGCGGUAAUACGUAGGUGGCAAGCGUUGUCCGGAAUUAUUGGGCGUAAAGCGCGCGCAGGUGGUUUAAUAAGUCUGAUGUGAAAGCCCACGGCUCAACCGUGGAGGGUCAUUGGAAACUGUUAAACUUGAGUGCAGGAGAGAAAAGUGGAAUUCCUAGUGUAGCGGUGAAAUGCGUAGAGAUUAGGAGGAACACCAGUGGCGAAGGCGGCUUUUUGGCCUGUAACUGACACUGAGGCGCGAAAGCGUGGGGAGCAAACAGGAUUAGAUACCCCGGUAGUCCCUGUCUCUUAUAC